CAGAAGUUCGUGAAAAUGGAGUUUUCUUUCAAAGAGAGCUGGUGAGCUGACUCAGCAGCUUUAGAAAGGCUUGCGAGAAAGCUUUGGCAAGGACAAGGAACGGGAACUCCAAAACAGCUGCUUGCCGGGGGUAAAUGGCAGAAACAACAGUUCAGGGGCGCUGUGCCGUCCAGGCAGCCUACGGAAAAGGAGAAAAGCUCUGUCUGGGAGCCGACUUCUACCGUAUCUGUGACAGUGAAAAACAGGACACUCUAAACGCUCGCCCGUAACCUAAAGACAGCCCCCUGUUUGUAACUCGGAAGAUCCUCUUUGAUGCUGUUAACCUGAAGACCCUGUUUGUUGCUGAGAUAACCUGAAGACUCCUGUUUGCUGCUAAGGUUUCAGAAUCUCGUCAGGCCCAGUGGUGCUCUCUCUUCCUGCUGCCUGCCGAUCCAAAUGUAGAGCUCUGGGCUCCUGCUCCAGCAUGGUGUCUCCCUCCAUGGUGCCAUGCUUCCCACACGACGCUAAUGGACUAAACCUCUGAACCUGUAAGCCAGCCCCAAUUACAUGUUGCCCUUCAUAAGAGUGGCCGUGGUCACAGUGUCUGUUCAUUGCAAUUCUCAGCUAAGACAAGGUACUUGCUGCCAAGCCUGACAGCCUGAGUUUGAUCUCCAGAAACCACAUGAUGGAAGGAGAGAACCAACUCCCACAAGUUGUCCUCUGACCUACGUGCACAUUUUCCUAUGUUUAUUUGUGUGUGUGUAUAAAUGUUAAAAAUUAAAUAAAAGUUAAUAGU